GGAUUGGAUCACCGACCUCUCCCAAGAGGGGCCUGGCUUCCUCCUCGCUGGGGAAACGGUAGGGAGCUCCCCUAGGUAAAGCCUCUAGGGAGAGUGGCCAGGAGCCGGGUCAGGAAAGGCUCUGGUGCCCAAAGGGCUGCCCGCAGAGGCUGAGGUCCCUGCAAGUGCACAGGGAGGAGAGGUGAGAUCAGAUUCCAGCCGAGUCAGGCUUCCAUGUCAGACUGCGUGUGUUUAUGCAGAGGUGCAACUCAGGAAUUACUGAGGAGAAAGUACAGGGCCAAUUUAACCUCCUCUGAGAGACCUCUAACCCUGCUCAUCACCACUCCUCGCUAAAAAGGGCCCUCUCCAGGGAAGAACCCAGAGGGAGAGCGGGAAUUCUCCUCCCCUUGGAGGAAGAGUGCUUCCUCUACCCUUAAUGUAUCAACUGACAACAAUUCAAACAGAAGGAAACUAGGAUGUGACAAAUAAAGGAAGCCUUUUCAUGCUCUAUGUCCACUGGCGUCGGGCAAGCCCCGGUGGAAGUCCAAGGAAAAGAGUCUAAGACCCAAACAGAUGGUUUGCGCCAAAGUUCUGAAGUGUAUCAGACGUGAAUAAAGGUCUUAGGUCUAGUGGAAGCUGCUUCGGAGCCAUGGAGAAAAGGCAGCCUGCGCUGAUUGACCAUGAGCCUAAGUACACUGCAUGAACCUUUGGAAGUACCUCUUCUAUGUCUGCCUGAAAGUCUUUGAAAUCGGUGUGUAUGUUACACCUACAACACAUCCCACACUGGAGGAGCCACCCUCCCAGGGCGAGACAGCAACACAGGCCUCCUGGCCACCCACACAGAGAAUAGAUACAUGAACUUCGGUACAUUGAUGCGGCAGAAUAAGACGGUGUACAGCAGUGACACCAAAGGAACCAUGGCUACAGGUAGCAGCAGCUGAACCUCACAAGUAAAACCGAGAGACUGCAAAGGACUGUAGACUGCAUGAUGUUACAUGUCUGUAACAUUCAAAAGGAAGGCAACACCGUUGUACUUAGUGAUGUUGAGCUAAGCCUCUGCAGAAAGGCGAAGCUGUGAUUGCACUGCAGCCCGUAGCAUAGUGAACUUUGCAACGCAGGGAAGGGCAUACAAAGCGCAGGCCUUUGGGAGUUCUGGCCGUUCUGUGUACUGACCUGGGUGUGGUCACAUUUCUUGAUAAACAAUUGAGGAGC
ensembl:lncRNA novel transcript